rnacentral:misc_RNA from 1 species
GAAAUGCGAUAAGUAAUGUGAAUUGCAGAAUUCCGUGAAUCAUCGAAUCUUUGAACGCACAUUGCGCCCCCUGGCAUUCCGGGGGGCAUGCCUGUUCGAGCGUCAUUACAACCUUCAAGCACGGCUUGUGUGUUGGGCGACUGUCCCCUGUGGACACGCCCCAAAAGCAGUGACGGCAGUCGCGAUCCGGCGCCUGAGUGUAUGGGAAAUCCACCGCUCAUAAGGCCCGGCCGACGGUCUGUCUACCUAUAAUAUUUUAUCUUGUUGACCUCGGAUCAGGUAGGGAUACCCGCUGAACUUAA